rnacentral:rRNA from 1 species
UGGGGAAUAUUGCACAAUGGGCGAAAGCCUGAUGCAGCGACGCCGCGUGAGGGAUGACGGCCUUCGGGUUGUAAACCUCUUUCAGUAGGGACGAAGCGCAAGUGACGGUACCUGCAGAAGAAGCACCGGCUAACUACGUGCCAGCAGCCGCGGUAAUACGUAGGGUGCGAGCGUUGUCCGGAAUUACUGGGCGUAAAGAGCUCGUAGGCGGUUUGUCACGUCGUCUGUGAAAUCCUAGGGCUUAACCCUGGACGUGCAGGCGAUACGGGCUGACUUGAGUACUACAGGGGAGACUGGAAUUUCUGGUGUAGCGGUGGAAUGCACAGAUAUCAGGAAGAGCACCGAUGGCGAAGGCAGGGCUCUGGGUAGUAACUGACGCUGAGGAGCGAAAGCAUGGGUAGCGAACAGG